rnacentral:lncRNA from 1 species
GUGGGAGGAUCCACUUCCAAAACGUCUCACUCACAUGACUAUUGGCAGAAAGCCUCAGUUCCUUGAAAAUGUGGACUUCUCUGCAGGCCUUCUGGAGUGUCCUCCUGACAGCAACUGGCCUUUCCCAGAGAGAGUGAUCCAACAGAGAGAGCAAGUAGGAUAUAGCUGCGCCUUUCAUGACAGCCUCAGAAGCCACAAAUCACCGUGUCUGCUAUGUUUUAUUCAUCAGAAGUGAGUCGCUGAGUCCAACCAUAUUCACAGGGAGGCAAAGUAAGCUCUACCUCUUAAAGGAAAGGAGUAUCCAAGAAUUUGUGGAUAUAUUUUAAAACGGCCACAGACCUCAGAUGGACAGAAUUCAACUCAUCACAUUUCUUGGUUCUUGACACGCUCUCCUCGUUAGUCCAUCACAUAUUGCACGGAUUCAUUCAUAUCGCUGCAUGUAGGCUGCUUUGACCUGCUGUAGAAUAUCUCAUUGUGUGGAUGCACAUGUGGAUCACUGAGUAUGUCAGAGCUGGCAAGAUACGUCAGAAGAGAAAGGAGAAACUCUUAACUAAAUAGAGUUGGAAAUAAAAUAAUUGUCUGUAUGGAAUAAGAUCAAAGGUCCCACAUGUUAAAGUCAACCCCAGAUGAAUUAAAGUCUUACAUGUCAAAAAAAAUUGAAACUUUUAGAAGAAAAUUAAGGUGGAUAUAUUUUAGACCUUAAGGUAGAGAAAGAUUUCUUAAAGAAGACACUUACAGGAUUGAUUACAAACAAAAAGACUGGUACAUUUGAAUGUAUUAUGUUAAGAACUUUUCCACCAAAAGAAAGCCUCGAUUUCCUCAUUUUUAAGAUGAGGAUAAUAAUCCCUACCUUAUAGAAUUCUAAUAAGAUGAAAUGAAGCAACAUAUACAAAAUACUUAGCACAGAUCCUAACACCUACAAAAUAAUAAAUGGUAACGAUUAUUAUUCUUCUCAAACAACAAUCCUAUUAUUUAUCAAAUAAUACUGAGUAAUAUGACAAGACAUAUUUAAACCACACAAGCCAUAUGCAGACAAGUGUUUAAUAUCAUAGUGAUAGUUUCAAGAGAGAGAUAAUAAUUUAUUCUACAUUUAUCAGAGGUCUAUAGCCCAGUAGUCAAUAAAUACUUAUCUAUAGUCAAUAAGUACUAUCAAGCAUCCAUGCCAGGAACCAUGCUAGGGGCUGAUUAAUUUACAUCAAUCACCAUGACUUUUUUCCCACAAACUAACACACACACAAUCUUCAUAGAUUUUUCUGUGAUCACAGCAAGGAAAAGACCUACGCAUGUUUGGAUCAUCUGUGUACAGUCCUACAGAAGAACUUUGACACUAUCAGAGACAGAAAUCUCAGAAUAGUCCAACUCUCACUUAUUUGUGCUAAUGAAAGAGUAAAGUAAAAGAGACAAUUAAAAUGGGAAAUGUGUUUUGUUUUGUUUUGGUGUUUUGUUUUACAAGUAUGCAAAAACCUCAAAUCAACCUGACCCAACAAUAAGGAAGCAAGUCAGAAAAAGGCAGUCUUCCAGAGCUGUUUGUUCAGCAGCUCAGUAAUGCCAUGAAGGUUUGCUUCCUUUCUCUGCUUUGUGUUUCUGGAGAGAGUCCGCAUACAUUUCAAUAUGGCUGACAGCAGUUCUGGAAUGUAUAAAGCCUUGCAUAAAGAAAAUGACAGUUCACUAUGAAAAUCU